GUGGGGAAUAUUGCACAAUGGGCGCAAGCCUGAUGCAGCAACGCCGCGUGAGGGAUGACGGCCUUCGGGUUGUAAACUGCUUUUGUACGGAACGAAACGGUCCUGGUUAAUACCUGGGGCUAAUGACGGUACCGUAAGAAUAAGCACCGGCUAACUACGUGCCAGCAGCCGCGGUAAUACGUAGGGUGCGAGCGUUAAUCGGAAUUACUGGGCGUAAAGCGUGCGCAGGCGGUGCUGUAAGACAGGCGUGAAAUCCCCGGGCUCAACCUGGGAAUUGCGCUUGUGACUGCAGUGCUGGAGUACGGCAGAGGGGGAUGGAAUUCCGCGUGUAGCAGUGAAAUGCGUAGAUAUGCGGAGGAACACCGAUGGCGAAGGCAGUCCCCUGGGCCUGUACUGACGCUCAUGCACGAAAGCGUGGGGAGCAAACAGGAUUAGAAACCCCGGUAGUCC
rnacentral:rRNA from 1 species